GAUGAACGCUGGCGGCGUGCCUAAUACAUGCAAGUCGAGCGAACGGACGAGAAGCUUGCUUCUCUGAUGUUAGCGGCGGACGGGUGAGUAACACGUGGAUAACCUACCUAUAAGACUGGGAUAACUUCGGGAAACCGGAGCUAAUACCGGAUAAUAUUUUGAACCUCAUGGUUCAAAAGUGAAAGACGGUCUUGCUGUCACUUAUAGAUGGAUCCGCGCUGCAUUAGCUAGUUGGUAAGGUAACGGCUUACCAAGGCAACGAUGCAUAGCCGACCUGAGAGGGUGAUCGGCCACACUGGAACUGAGACACGGUCCAGACCCCUACGGGAGGCAGCAGUAGGGAAUCUUCCGCAAUGGGCGAAAGCCUGACGGAGCAACGCCGCGUGAGUGAUGAAGGUCUUCGGAUCGUAAAACUCUGUUAUUAGGGAAGAACAUAUGUGUAAGUAACUGUGCACAUCUUGACGGUACCUAAUCAGAAAGCCACGGCUAACUACGUG
rnacentral:rRNA from 1 species